AUUGAACGCUGGCGGCAGGCCUAACACAUGCAAGUCGAACGAGUGGCGGACGGGUGAGUAAUGUCUGGGAAACUGCCUGAUGGAGGGGGAUAACUACUGGAAACGGUAGCUAAUACCGCAUACCAUCGGAUGUGCCCAGGUGGGAUUAGCUAGGGGGUGGGGUAACGGCUCACCUAGGGGACGAUCCCUAGCUGGUCUGAGAGGAUGACCAGCAACACUGGAACUGAGACACGGUCCAGACGCCUACGGGAGGCAGCAGUGGGGAAUAUUGCACAAUGGGCGCAAGCCUGAUGCAGCCAUGCCGCGUGUAUGAAGAAGGCCUUCGGGUUGUAAAGUACUUUCGGCGAGGAGGCGUUACCCGCAGAAGAAGCACCGGCUAACUCCGUGCCAGCAGCCGCGGUAAUUC
rnacentral:rRNA from 1 species